AAUCCUAAUCCUCACUUUUGGCAAAAGAAUCAGCCACUCCACUACACUCUCUGCAACUCAUCUUUCUCUCUUUCUCGCUCCCCCAUAAACUGACCGCCGACGACGGACAAUCAAAUGCCAAUGCCGCUGCCGCUGCCGCUGCCGCUGCCGCUUGUUACUGAUGAGACCACCAUCGGAAAUAUCUCUUCAACUACCACCGCCGCAAAUCAUGGGAUUGUACGAUGUGGAUCUUACGGAUGAUAUCUGCAUAUGACGAAUUUCAAUUAGUUUAAUUUAUUUUUUUUUACAAAAAAAUUGAAGGCUAAAGAGCGUAAACAAGUGAUUCUCCGACUUAGGGAAGAUCUCAAAGUAGGGGAAGGUACUAGACGAAAAAGUGAACAUGGAGGUAAGCUACUGUAGAAUAAGCUCUUUAUCGUGUCCACAUGGGAUUAACUGCUGAUCUACUUAGAAAGACGUAUGAUGUUUUGCUAUCAGUUGGAUAUUCACGCGUUGUAAGAAGCGGAGUUCCUAGAGGAGGAGGAGGGAGGAGAAACCAUGCACUGACAGGACUUUCCUUUCUUUUUAUUAUUUUGGGAACUGCAACACAAGGAGGAGCAAAUAUAGCCAGCCAAGUGAUGCGGCUAGUGGACCCAUUUCGCCCAUGGAUGCAAGAAGACCACGUGAUGAUAGUGAUCCUAAUGACAGUCGUUGAUUUUGUUGCAAAUUGUCUUGCAUAUUCAAUUAUGAUGAUGUAAUUGUGUGGUUGGAGUGAAUCUUAGAAUAUUGAAGGUUUUGUGUUUAAAUUUGAUUUUGGAAUUUUAAGAUACUAGUUAAUGUUGAAAAUUUGGAGUUUGAAGAUGUUAAUGUUGAAAAUUUAAUUUUGAAGUUUAAUGUUCAAUGUAUUUUUGAGUUGCUUGUGAAUUAUAAAGUUUAAUUAGUCAUGUUGUGUUAAUGAUUUAUGAAUUAAAUAAAUAUUGAAUUGUAGG